rnacentral:rRNA from 1 species
AUUGAACGCUGGCGGCACGCCUAACACAUGCAAGUCGAGCGGCAGCAUGCUUAGUAGCAAUACUAAGUGAUGGCGAGCGGCGGACGGGUGAGGAACACGUAGGAACCUGCCCAAGAGAGGGGGAUAACUAAGGGAAACUUUAGCUAAUACCGCAUAAUCUCUGAGGAGAAAAGCUGCCCGUAAGGGUAGCGCUUUUGGAGGGGCCUGCGUCCGAUUAGCUAGUUGGUGAGGUAAAAGCUCACCAAGGCGAUGAUCGGUAACUGGUCUGAGAGGACGACCAGUCACACUGGGACUGGGAAACGGCCCAUACUCCUACGGGAGGCAGCAGGGGGGAAUCUUGGACAAUGGGGGCAACCCUGAUCCAGCGAUGCCGCGUGGGUGAAGAAGGCCUUCGGGUUGUAAAGCCCUUUAGGCUGGGAAGAAGUGUGCGGGAUGAAUAAUCCUGUACAUUGACGGUACCAGCAGAAUAAGCACCGGCAAACUCUGUGCCAGCAGCCGCCGUAA